rnacentral:sRNA from 1 species
AUAGCGCACAUAGAGUGCGGGUGAGAAGCUGCGUUCAGGUUCGAGCCGGGUGGAGCGAGAUAGCGUUGCGCUUGCGCAACGACCCGUAGGCCGAGUCAUCCUGCACGAUCCACCA